CACGUAGUUAGCCGCAGCUGCUUCUGCAGGUACCGUCAUAAUCUUCCCUGCCGAAAGAGCUUUACACCCCGAAGGGCUUCAUCGCUCACGCGGCGUCGCUGCAUCAGGGUUGCCCCCAUUGUGCAAGAUUCCCCACUGCUGCCUCCCGUAGGAGUCUGGCCCGUGUUCAGUGCCAGUGUGGCCGUGUGCCCUCUCAGGCCGGCUACCGAUCGUUGCCUUGGUAGGCUUUUACCCUGCCAACAAGCUAAUCGGCCGCGGACUCCUCCUCCUGCGCAUUGCUGCUUUCUCCUCUCGGACUUAUGCGGUAUUAGCCCCGGUUUCCCAGGGUUAUCCCCCACAAGAGGGUAGAUGAUCCACGUGUUGCUCACCCGUACGCCACUUUACUCACAAGAUUGCUCCUGCUUUCUCGUUCGACUUGCAUGUGUUAGGCGCGCCGCCAGCGUUGAUUCUGAGCCAGGAUCAAACUCU
rnacentral:rRNA from 1 species